rnacentral:rRNA from 1 species
UACGGUAGCUAAGGAAUAAGCAUCUGGCUAAUUCCGUGCCAGCAGUCCGCGGUAAUACGGAUAGAUGCAAGCGUUAUUCGGAAUUAUUGGGUCGUAAAGCGUCUGUAGGUGGCUUUUUAAGUCUACUGUUAAAUAUCAGGGCUUAACCUUGAGAAAGAGCGGUAUGAAACUAAGAGGCUUGAGUUUAGUAGAGGUAUAAGGGAAUUCUCGGUGUAGGUGGUGAAAUGCGUAGAUAGUCGGGAUAGUAGCACUCUGUGGCGGAAGCGCUUUACUGGGCUAAGAGCUGACAUCUGAGAGACGAAAGCUAGGGGAGCAAAUAGGAUUAGAUACCCUAGUAGUCCUAGCUGUAUAAGCGAUGGAUACUAAGUGUUGGAUCGAAAAGAAGUUCAGUGCUGUAGCUAAUCGCGUUAUAGUAUCCCGCCUGGGAAGUAUGCUCGCCAAGAGUAAAACUCAAAUGUAAUUGACGG